rnacentral:rRNA from 1 species
GGCGACCGGCGCACGGGUGAGUAACGCGUAUGCAACCUACCUACUACAGGGGAAUAACCCGGAGAAAUUCGGACUAAUACCGCAUAAUACAGGGGUCCCGCAUGGGAAUAUUUGUUAAAGAUUUAUCGGUAGUAGAUGGGCAUGCGUUCCAUUAGCCAGUUGGUGAGGUAACGGCUCACCAAAGCAACGAUGGAUAGGGGAACUGAGAGGUUUAUCCCCCACACUGGAACUGAGACACGGACCAG